UUUCAUUUCCAUGCCAUUCUUCCCUCCAUUUCAAUUCAUUUAAUUUUGUUGGGUGCAGGAACGGAGCCAAUGGAAAGUGACAUACACAAACAUACGAAUAGAUGACUCAAGGCUCUUGUUCUAUAAAUCAUCCCCAGUGUUUCAUAUCUUCAAUAUUCAUUUUCUCAGGGGAUGGAAAAACAUGCACUAACUACUACAAAUUGGCCUGCUUUUGACCCGGUAAAGAAAAUUUAUGAAGGGAUCAAACUUAUAAUCACAAUGUCGGCUGCUACCACUCAAAAUGGAGGAUCGAUCCCC
rnacentral:lncRNA from 1 species